CAGUUAUGACCUGGCACACUGUAAAUACAAAUUUUACUCCACAAGGAGAGGUUUUCUGCUGGGAGUAAAACAGUAUCAAGUCAACAGCAGAUUCUCCUGAAGUUUGUAGUUCAUCUUAUUGACUAACCUUGACAAUCAGCCCAGAGAUCAUCAUCUAUUUCAGCAAAAAUUGGUGGCACAACUUCAAAGUCAGCAAAAUAUGGAGUUGCCAUGGUUCAACAGUAUAGCCAGUAGAA